AUUGAACGCUGGCGGCAUGCCUUACACAUGCAAGUCGAACGGCAGCACGGGAGCAAUCCUGGUGGCGAGUGGCGAACGGGUGAGUAAUAUAUCGGAACGUGCCCAGUCGUGGGGGAUAACGUAGCGAAAGCUACGCUAAUACCGCAUACGAUCUAUGGAUGAAAGCGGGGGAUCGCAAGACCUCGCGCGAUUGGAGCGGCCGAUAUCAGAUUAGGUAGUUGGUGGGGUAAAAGCCUACCAAGCCUUCGAUCUGUAGCUGGUCUGAGAGGACGACCAGCCACACUGGAACUGAGACACGGUCCAGACUCCUACGGGAGGCAGCAGUGGGGAAUUUUGGACAAUGGGCGCAAGCCUGAUCCAGCCACGCCGC
rnacentral:rRNA from 1 species